UGGAAACCUGUGCGUCUCCUCUGAUGCGCGUUCAGCUCCUCCUCUCAGCUCAUGCACGCCAACUUCCAGGCCUUUCACCACUGCCAAUCAAAUCUCUCGCUCGACGCUGGUCACACGCACGCCCAGCCGAGCUCCUGCUUCCCUCUCCCGCGGUGCCUGGCUUCCUCCAAGCUCGCCCCCAACCACAACCACGCCCUGGUCCGCGCUCCAGCCCUCCCCAUCCUCCUCUUGCUAUGGUGCCCAGCCGAGCUCUCUCCCCUUCCUGCCAUGGCCGACGCCCCUCCCUGCUGUAGCUCGAUGCCCUCUCCUGCAGCAAGCAGUGCCCUCCCCUUUCUGCAGCAAGUGGGUGCCCCCAGCCCCUCCUUUGUUCCCAUGGCCGGCCACCUCUGCUGCUUCCAUGGUGAUCUCUAAAUCCCUUUGUUGUUUUACUAGUUCUUGUUAAUACCCUGCUGAUGUGAGGUUUUAUGUGUGUUGAUGUGUGCGAUAUGGAGUAAAAUCCUUGGAGAAUUAGGUGGAGAAGAAGGUUAAGUUCAACACUCCUUAGGUGUUCGAUGAUAUGCUCGAACUGGUGGCCGUCUUCGUUCUUGCUGAAAUCGAGUCGGAGCAUGAUGUGGUUCGUUACACGUGAUGCGAAGGACAAGAGCCGAGUUGAUCCCAAAAUGAUGCUAGUGAACGAACCUAAGGAUGGAUGAUCUGAUAGAGUGCCAGAAUGGGAGAUGCUCACCAAGUGGUCGUCAAUUAACAACACUAACUUAGUGUUAUCCCAGGUUAUAAUUUUGUUCUGUUAUGGAUGCUGCUAAGUGCCGGUAGGCUCGGCCUUCUUAUAUAAGUAUAUCCCAUCUUUAGCUUCUUUAUUGAGGAUUGUCACUUAAGCUAGCAUGUAUUUGAAAACCUAUAAAUAUUUUAUACAUUUUAAAUUGUAAUUUUUUUGAAUCACUUUCUUUUGUAAUCACUCCGAUGAUAUAUAUUGUAAUCUUGUUAUAACUUGUAAAUGUUGUAACUUGUAACCAUUUUGUAAUAAAGAAUUUCCGCUAAAAAAAAAAAAAAAAAAAA
rnacentral:lncRNA from 7 species